UGCCGUUUUGGCCUAUAUGGCGGG
rnacentral:siRNA from 1 species